rnacentral:rRNA from 1 species
CGGGUAACGGGGAAUGAGGGUUCGAUUCCGGAGAGGACGCCUGAGAAACGGCGUCCACAUCUACGGAGGGCAGCAGGCGCGUAAAUUGCCCAAUCUCAAUACGAGGAGGCGGUGACAAUAAAUACCGAUGGCUUUCCAGUUAAUGGGGGCCAAAUCAGAAUAAGCACAAAUUAAAUCUCUUAACCAAUAUAAUUGGAGGGCAAGUCUGGUGCCAGCAGCCGCGGUAAUUCCAGCUCCAAUAGCAUAUACUAAUUUUGUUGCAGUUAAAAAGCUCGUAGCUUAAAUUCACGUUCUGAAACUUUGUUUACUACAUUGGAUUACUAUCACGARAGUGUUUAAGUGCCAGUGUAACAGAGACGUGUGGUUUAUURUUGGAGGCAACUCUAACGAUGGUCAACUGUGCAUAAACCUUGAUGCUCAAGGUAAAGAUUGUAAUGUCUGCGAUACGUUGUGCAUGGUAUUGUAGAAUAGGGUGUCUUAAAUUUGUUGGUUGAGUUUAAGAUACAAUGAUUAAUAGGGAAGAGCGGGGGCCU